rnacentral:rRNA from 1 species
CCUACGGGAGGCAGCAGUGAGGAAUAUUGGUCAAUGGGCUUACGCCUGAACCAGCCAAGUCGCGUGAGGGAAGACUGCCCUAUGGGUUGUAAACUUCUUUUAUAAAGGAAUAAAGUGAGGCACGUGUGCCUUUUUGUAUGUACUUUAUGAAUAAGGAUCGGCUAACUCCGUGCCAGCAGCCGCGGUAAUACGGAGGAUCCGAGCGUUAUCCGGAUUUAUUGGGUUUAAAGGGAGCGUAGAUGGGUUGUUAAGUCAGUUGUGAAAGUUUGCGGCUCAACCGUAAAAUUGCAAUUGAUACUGGCAGUCGUGAGUACAGAUGAGGUAGGCGGAAUUCGUGGUGUAGCGGUGAAAUGCUUAGAUAUCACGAAGAACUCCGAUUGCGAAGGCAGCUUACUAAACUGCCACUGACAUUGAUGCUCGAAAGUGUGGGUAUCAAACAGGAUUAGAUACCCUUGUAGUC